rnacentral:rRNA from 1 species
UUUGGAUAGUCCCUGCUUAAAUCCGGUCGCCUAACGGUCGGUCUGGUAGGGAUACUACCUUACUUGGGGACGGGAGACGGUGACGGUAUUCCACAGGUAAGGGUGAAAUCUAAUGAUCUGUGGAGGACCACCAGUGGCGAAGGCGGUCACCGAGAACGUGCCCGACGGUGAGGAACGAAACCCAGGGUAGCGAAUCGGAUUAGAUACCCGAGUAGUCCUGGGCGUAAACGAUGCCCGUUAAGUGUUGCAUUGGCCACGAGCCACUGCGGUGCUGCAGCGAAAGCGAUAAACGGGCCGCUUGGGAAGUACGGUCGCAAGACUGAAACUUAAAGGAAUUGGCGGGUGAGCACCACAAGGGGUGGAGCUUGCGGUUUAAUUGGACUCAACGCCGGAAAACUUACCCGCCCAGACAGCCGUAUGAGGACCAGACUGAUGAUCUUGUCCGACGAGCUGAGAGCUGGUGCAUGGCCAUCGCAAAUUCGUGCCGUGAGGUAUCAGCUUAAGUGCUGCAACGAAUGAGACCCCCGCUUCCUAGUUGCCAGCCAGGAGGUUCGCCUCCGCUGGGGCACACUAGGGGGACCGCCAGCGAUGAGCUGGAGGAAGGUGGGGGCCACGGUAGGUCAGUAUGCCGCGAUAUGGGCGGGGCCACACGCGUGCUACAAGGGGUAGGACAAUGCGUCACGACACCGAGAGGUGAAGUCAAUCGCCAAACCUGCCCGUAGUUGGGAUUGCGGGUUGGAACUCACCCGCAUGAACCUGGAUUC